UACAGAGGAGGCAAGCGUUGUUCGGAAUCAUUGGGCUUAAAGGGCGUGUAGGCGGCGGCGUAAGCGUCGAGUGAAAUCCCACUGCUCAACGGUGGAACUGCUCGGCGAACUGCGUCGCUUGAGGUCGGUAGAGGUGCUCGGAACUCUAGGUGGAGCGGUGAAAUGCGUAGAUAUCUAGAGGAACGCCAGAGGCGAAAGCGGGGCACUGGGCCGAUUCUGACGCUGAGACGCGAAAGCGUGGGGAGCAAACAGG
rnacentral:rRNA from 1 species